CAUUAGGAAGCUAAAACGGGUCUAGCGUUAGCCUUUUAAGCUAAAGACUGGUGAUCCCCAACCACCCCUAGUGA
rnacentral:tRNA from 3 species